UACGGGGGGAGCAAGCGUUGUUCGGAUUUACUGGGCGUAAAGGGCUCGUAGGCGGCCAACUAAGUCAGACGUGAAAUCCCCAGGCUCAACCUGGGAACUGCGUCUGAUACCGGAUGGCUUGAAUCCGGGAGAGGGAUGCAGAAUUCCAGGUGUAGCGGUGAAAUGCGUAGAUAUCUGGAGGAAUACCGGUGGCGAAGGCGGCAUCCUGGACCGGCAUUGACGCUGAGGAGCGAAAGCCAGGGGAGCAAACGGG
rnacentral:rRNA from 1 species